GGCCGGCUAGCUCAGAUGGUUAGAGCGUCGUGCUAAUAACGCGAAGGUCUUGGGUUCGAUCCCCACGUUGGCCA
rnacentral:tRNA from 1 species